AUGAAAGGAAGCACCCAGUGCAGAGUCCUGAGUUGCAUAGGGCAAGGCAGGGAGAUCUGGAAUGAGGAUUUGGGGUGUAGGUUUUGGUGUAAGCUCCUGGAAUUCUGCAGGAUUUUUGGGAAACAGGAGAAGCUUCCGAGCCUCGGAGCUGCGGCUCCUGGAGCCACCUGGGUGUGCAGGUUUGGGGCUUGCUCAGAUCCAGCUGCUGGGCUGAGUCACAUUCCCAGAAAAAAAUGAAAAACUAUCGUUAUUUACAUGGAAAGAGCCUGAGAAACUCCAUUACAAAAACGUAACCAUCAGAAGGCUUAGAAGAAUUUAGAAGAGCAGGGAGACACCUGGCUGGGCAGGAACGAGGGUUGGGAGAGUCCUUGGGAGUCGGGAAACUGGGAAUGAGAGAGCUGGGAGGCGACAGCAGACCCUGCUUUGGAUAAAGCCGAGCUCACGGAAGCCGGGCCUUGCUCCGUGUGGGAUCUGAGCCUCGUGUUGGAACGUGCCUUGACCCCAGGUGCCUCCAGGGAAUGCUGAGUCCGGGAACUCCUCGGGUUUGAGGCCCAGGGAGGCCGGGACCCACCCUGAGAUGCUUCAGAUAGGGAGAGGGAGCGAGACAAAGACCUGACGCAAGAGCUGACCUCGGACGCUGCUGACUUCCACAAGGAUUUUUUCUUUUUUCCUCGUUUUUUUUCCCUCUCUUUGAUGGUUUUUUGCAAAGCUUUCCCGCAGCUCGGGGUGGGUUUGGUCACUCUGUAAAUGCUGGUGGUGCCCAAACUCCAAAUUUGUGUCCCUGGGAUGUGUGGGAGCAUCAGAGGGAGUUCAGGAGGUUUGGGCAGCACUCAGGAACAGGGGGGGAUUUUUGGGCAGGGAGAGAUUUGAGCUGGAUGAUCCUUUGGGGGAGGGUCCUUCUCAUUUGGGAUGUUCUGGGAUUCUGUGGAAGAAAUGUCCUGUGCUGAGUUCUGCACCAAAUAUGUGUCCUUGGGAUGGACCACACAAAAUCUAUCAUGUUUAGGGGCCAAAAGGAGGAAUUUUGGGGAAGUUUUCUCCCAGUACAGCUCCUUGUUUUCUACGGACCAUCCUUUUUUAGGGUGUUUUUCCGUGGGUCCUCCUUUUCUAGGAUACUCUGGACCAUCCUUUUCUAGGAUACUGUGGAACAUUCUUUUUUAGGGUCUUUUUCUGAAACAUCCUUUAUUAAGAUACUUUUCUGUGGGUCAUCCUUUUUUAAGGUGGACCAUCCUUUAUUACUGCAUUUUUUGUGUACCAUUCUUUUUAAGGAUAUUUUUCUGUGGAUCAUCCUUUUCCAGGAUAUUUUUCUGUGAUUCAUCCUUUUUUAGGGUGUUUUUCUGUGGAUGAUUCUCAGUCCCCAUCCCUGGCGGUGUCCAAGGAAUUCCUGGAUGUGGCACUCAGGACUCUGGGCUGAGGAUGAGGUGGGGAUUGGAUUGAUGAUUUUGGGAGUCUUUUCCUCAGUGAUCCCGGGAUUCUGGGAUUGUGUUAAGUGGGAUUUAAGGGGAAAUUGUUCCUCUAAAGGUGGGGAGACCCUGAAAUGGAAUUCCCAGAUUUGCUGUGGCUGCCCCUGGAUCGCUGGCUGUGUCCAAGGCCAGGCUGGACAUUGGGCUUGGAUCCACCUGGAACAGUGGGAGGUCUCCCUGCCCAUGGAUGAGGCUGGAAUGGGAUGAGCUUUAAGCCCCUUCCAGCCCAAACCAUCCUGGAAUUCUGGGGCUUCUCCAAUUCCUCAGCUGCAGCUCCUCUCUUCACUUCAGGGGCAGCAAAUAAUUAAAAAAAUUACGACAACAA